GAUGAACGCUAGCGGCAGGCCUAACACAUGCAAGUCGAGGGGGAAGUUACUUUCGGGUGACUGAGACCGGCGUACGGGUGCGUAACGCGUAUACAAUCUGCCUUUCACUGGGGGAUAGCCCGAAGAAAUUUGGAUUAAUACCCCAUAGUAUAUAGGGACGGCAUCGUUUUUCUAUUAAAGCUUAGGUGGUGAAAGAUGAGUAUGCGUUCUAUUAGCUAGUUGGAGAGGUAACGGCUCCCCAAGGCGAUGAUAGAUAGGGGUUCUGAGAGGGAUGACCCCCACACUGGUACUGAGAUACGGACCAGACUUCUACGGUGGGCAGCAGUUAGGGAUAUUCGACAAUGGUCGGAAGACUGAUCCAGCCAUGCCGCGUGCAGGAUGAAGGUCUUAUGGAUUGUAACCUGCUUUUGUAAGGGAAGAAUAAGGGCUACGCGUAGUUUGAUGACGGUACCUUACGAAUAAGCAGCGGCUAACUCCGUG
rnacentral:rRNA from 1 species